rnacentral:lncRNA from 1 species
GAUAAUCAAAGAGACAAAAAAUAUAAUUGGCUUUCAAAGAAUAAGAAUAAAACAAUAAGAAAGUUGUAUUCCACUAUGAUAUCAAGAAAGUUCUGUGUGUCUGCAAAUGAUAAAAUUUCUUCCUUUUAUAGUUGACAAAGAGCAACGGAUUAUUCUAAGUAAUAAAGAGCAUUAAUGGGACGUUACAUAAUAAUUGCUAUUAAAUACUGAAUAACUAACGUAUCAUGUAUUUAAUAAUGAAUGUAGAAUACUUUUUAUCAUCACGUUCGUAUCUUCAACGCCCUUUUCAUCCGUUAAUAUUGCAUGACUUGGAUAGAUACGAGAAUCGUAUCUAAGAUUCCAUCUCGUGUCUAUUUUUUUUCUUCCACCGUGCAUGUUGUCUUCCGUGCCUUUUGAUCAUUUAUUGCUCUUUGACUGUUUGACCAAUCCAGGUAUCAUGCCACGUCACCAUUAAUAAAAACUCAAUUUUUUCCCAAUACAAGAAGCAACAUCCCUGGUUCUGUUAUCAUCACGCCUACGUUUAGCCAUAGUGAAUGAUGUAAGAAAAAGGUAUUACGGGUCGCAAGUUCGAUUCUUG